UACGAAGGGGGCUAGCGUUGCUCGGAAUUACUGGGCGUAAAGCGCACGUAGGCGGCUUUGUAAGUUAGAGGUGAAAGCCCGGGGCUCAACUCCGGAACUGCCUUUAAGACUGCAUCGCUUGAAUCCAGGAGAGGUGAGUGGAAUUCCGAGUGUAGAGGUGAAAUUCGUAGAUAUUCGGAAGGAACACCAGUGGCGAAGGCGGCUCACUGGACUGGUAUUGACGCUGAGGUGCGAAAGCGUGGGGAGCAAACAGGG
rnacentral:rRNA from 1 species